CGCGAAUGGCUCAUUACAACAGCUAUAAUUUACUUGAUCUUGACUUCCUACUUGGAUAACUGUGGUAAUUCUAGAGCUAAUACAUGCACCAAAGCUCCGACCUUACGGGAAGAGCGCAUUUAUUCGAACAAAACCAAGCGGCUUCGGCCGUCCGCAGUUGACUCAGAAUAACUAAGCUGAUCGCAUGGUCUUGAACCGGCGACGUAUCUUUCAAGUGUCUGCCUUAUCAACUUUCGAUGGUAGGUUAUACGCCUACCAUGGUAGUAACGGGUAACGGAGAAUAAGGGUUCGACUCCGGAGAGGGAGCCUGAGAAACGGCUACCACAUCCAAGGAAGGCAGCAGGCGCGCAAAUUACCCACUUCCAGAACGGAGAGGUAGUGACGAAAAAUAACGAGACCGUUCUCUUAUGAGGCCGGUCAUCGGAAUGGGUACAAUUUAAACCCUUUAACGAGUAUCUAUGAGAGGGCAAGUCUGGUGCCAGCAGCCGCGGUAAUUCCAGCU
rnacentral:rRNA from 1 species